CUCUUCCACCCUGAAUAUGCCCGAUCUUGUCUGAUCUCAGAAGCCAAGUAGCGUUGGACCUAGUUAGUACUUGGAUAAGAGA
rnacentral:rRNA from 1 species